rnacentral:siRNA from 1 species
AUAUCUACAUUCUCUACCACUUC